UGGGGAAUAUUGCACAAUGGAGGGAACUCUGAUGCAGCGACGCCGCGUGAACGAAGAAGGCUUUCGAGUCGUAAAGUUCUUUUAUACGGGAAGAUAAUGACGGUACCAUCGGAGGAAGCCCCGGCUAACUACGUGCCAGCAGCCGCGGUAAUACGUAGGGGGCAAGCGUUGUCCGGAAUCACUGGGCGUAAAGGGUUCGCAGGCGGAAAUGCAAGUCAGUCGUGAAAGGCAGAGGCUCAACCUCUGUAAGCAAUUGAAACUGUAUUUCGUGGGAUGUGGAGAGGCAAGUGGAAUGCCUAGUGUAGCGGUGAAAAGCGUAGAUAUUAGGAAGAAUACCGGUGGCGGAGGCGACUUACUGGACACAAACUGACGCUGAGGAACGAAAGCGUGGGUAGCAAACAGG
rnacentral:rRNA from 1 species